ACCCAGGGCCUUGCGCUUCCUAGGUAAGCGCUCUACCACUGAGCUAAAUCCCCAACCUGUUUUUUAUUUUUUUAAAGAAAAGAAUGAGGAGGAAAGAAGCAUUUGAAGAAAUGGGGAUGGGGCAUGCACAAAGGCCUGGGUUUGACUCCCACCACCACAGAAACUGGACGUAUCCGGAACUCCAGAAGUGGAGGUAUGAGGAUCUAGGCCAUUCUCAACGUCAUAGUGAAGCUGAGAUCAGCCUCCUGUACAUGAGUCCUGCCUCUAAAAGAAAGAGGGAAAGGAGGAGAGAGAAGAGAGAUGAGGAGAAGAAUAGAAGGGAGGGGAGUGGGGAGGGAGGGAAAGAGGAAGAAAGAAGACAUGGGAUCCCAGCACUCAGGAGCAGAGGCAGGCAGAUCUCUGAGUUCCCAGGCGACAGCCAGGGCUGCACAGAGAAACCCUGUCUUGAAGAAGAAGGGGACAGGAGAGAUUUGCAGGAGAAAGGGAUAUAAAUAGGUAACAGGAAGAUGGGAGACCGUGGGAGUCAGUAUGCAUUAUAUACAUUUGGGAAUGUUUAAAAAAAAUCAGUUUUUUAAAAUAUUGAAAAAACUGCAGAAACAUGUUUUGAUGCAUAUGACACCAAAGAAAAAUUAGGAAAAAAAAUACAGAAUAAGAAAUGAGACUUGCGGGGCUGGGGAUUUAGCUCAGUGGUAGAGCACUUACCUAGGAAGCGCAAGGCCCUGGGUUCGGUCCCCAGCUCCGAAAAAAAAGAACCAAAAAAAAAAAAAAAAAAAAAAAAAGAAAUGAGACUUGCUGGAGUAGUGUCCUGGAGAGGUUUUGUCUUGGAAUCUAGUCCUGCAGCUCUCUAUGUGGGAGCACACACUAUAUCUAGGCGUGCAGUUGGGUAGAGGUGGUGGUGGGAACCUUCGGGUCUCCUAUUCUGAUAGUUUCAGUUUUAUUAGUGGCGUAGAGAGUAAUGCUUCUGAGAUGAGAAGUGGGAAAGGGUAGUGGGAGUUUGAGGAAGGAGAAGAGAAGGUGUGACAUAGUCCUCUGGCUGGGGAGAUGAAUGGGUUAGAGAAAAUACAAGCUUGCGAAGUGUGCCCGCUGCCCAGAGUUCAUGAGCAUGAGUUUAAGUGCUACAGUUGAUGCGAUUCUGUUGUUUUCUCUAACACGAUCAGCGACCAAGGAUGCAGGUCCAGCUGCUGAGAAUUCUCCGUCACCAAAAUUUGCAAGGGAAUAAAUAAGUGUAAAGAGAGGGCAGUGAGGAAGAGGAUUACAUCCAUCUUACGGAGAGUGAGUUUGAUUCCCCAGGGGAUUUAAGAUGAGUAGAGACACAGCAUAGGGACAGAUAGGUCAAGGACAGCAGAAGAGCGGUAGGAUCAGUAACGGGCAAGUACAACAUCACUGAGCCUUGGCAUCAAAGAGCUAGAAGUCUGUGUGGUUCUGAGAGUUCUGCGUCAAGGGGAAAGAGAAUCAUCUGGGCAGAAGGCAGGCUCUGUCUAUUCUCUUUGUGGGUAAGUUUCAACCUCUACCCUUCCUUUUCGUGCCCCACAUCUAGAUUGAUGGGGUAGAUAGAUCCUGAGGCUAUAAAUGCAGGGACAAUGGAAGAGACUCAAGGUCAGAGUGUGUGAUCUCAAGAGCUGGGUGUGGUGGCACAGACCUAAAAUCCCAGCACUUGGGAGGUGAGGCACCGGGAACAAAAGAUUGGGGAGUUCAGGGCAGUCCUCAGCCAUGUUUGAGAGAGUAGAGAGAUAGGACCAUGCCUUUAAUUCGUAAGCCAGCUGGCUCAGCCACCUCCGUGCAGUGUCUGCCAGCCAGAUGGCUGUGAUCCUCCUCUUCACGUUUCCCUGCUCUGUCCUUCAGUGUUUAUUGACCUUUACUGCCUGGCUCCUUUGGCGUCUGACUUUGUAACUUCUGGGUUAAAGUCGUGGAUGUGAUUAGGGAAGGUAGACUCCAACUGGAGCGUCUUGGAUACUUCAGAAUGGAAAGCAAGGAAUUCCAGUCAAGGGACUGCAUGAAUCUCAGAAGAGACUUUGAACUUUGGACUUCUGAACAUUAUUGAGACUAUGAAAGACUAUGGGAACUUUCGAAGUUGGGAUAAAUGUAGUUUUUAUUAUGCUAUGGCUAGGUAUGGCCACCGUAGACUCAUUUUUUUUUUUUGAACAAACCUAUAAAAGGCAGGGAGUUUAAAUAUUCUUGGCUCAUUGGAAGUGGAAUUAUUAAGAAAUGUACUUGUCGAAGUGGGUAUGGCCAUGUUGGAGGAAGUAUAUAUAUUCCUUUAGGUGUGGGCUUUAAGGUCCUAUGCUUAAACCCCGGUGGUGGAAGAGAGCCUGCUCCUGGCUGUCUGUGGAAGAGUUUCCUCCUGGCUGCCUUUGGAUCAAGAUAUAGAACUCUUGGCUCCUCCAGUACCAAGUCAGCCUGCAUGCUGCCGUGCUUUCUACAAUAAUGACAGUGGACUGAACCAGCCAACACCAGUGAAAUAUUUGCAUUAUAAGAGUUGACUUGG